UUGAAGAGUUUGAUCAUGGCUCAGAUUGAACGCUGGCGGCAGGCCUAACACAUGCAAGUCGGGCGGUAACACAGGGAGCUUGCUCCCGGGUGACGAGCGGCGGACGGGUGAGUAAUGUCUGGGAAACUGCCUGAUGGAGGGGGAUAACUACUGGAAACGGUAGCUAAUACCGCAUAACGUCGCAAGACCAAAGAGGGGGACCUUCGGGCCUCUUGCCAUCAGAUGUGCCCAGAUGGGAUUAGCUAGUAGGUGGGGUAACGGCUCACCUAGGCGACGAUCCCUAGCUGGUCUGAGAGGAUGACCAGCCACACUGGAACUGAGACACGGUCCAGACUCCUACGGGAGGCAGCAGUGGGGAAUAUUGCACAAUGGGCGCAAGCCUGAUGCAGCCAUGCCGCGUGUAUGAAGAAGGCCUUCGGGUUGUAAAGUACUUUCAGCGGGGAGGAAGGUGUUGUGGUUAAUAACCACAGCAAUUGACGUUACCCGCAGAAGAAGCACCGGCUAACUCCGUGCCAGCAGCCGCGGUAAUACGGAGGGUGCAAGCGUUAAUCGGAAUUACUGGGCGUAAAGCGCACGCAGGCGGUCUGUCAAGUCGGAUGUGAAAUCCCCGGGCUCAACCUGGGAACUGCAUUCGAAACUGGCAGGCUAGAGUCUUGUAGAGGGGGGUAGAAUUCCAGGUGUAGCGGUGAAAUGCGUAGAGAUCUGGAGGAAUACCGGUGGCGAAGGCGGCCCCCUGGACAAAGACUGACGCUCAGGUGCGAAAGCGUGGGGAGCAAACAGGAUUAGAUACCCUGGUAGUCCACGCCGUAAACGAUGUCGACUUGGAGGUUGUGCCCUUGAGGCGUGGCUUCCGGAGCUAACGCGUUAAGUCGACCGCCUGGGGAGUACGGCCGCAAGGUUAAAACUCAAAUGAAUUGACGGGGGCCCGCACAAGCGGUGGAGCAUGUGGUUUAAUUCGAUGCAACGCGAAGAACCUUACCUACUCUUGACAUCCAGAGAACUUAGCAGAGAUGCUUUGGUGCCUUCGGGAACUCUGAGACAGGUGCUGCAUGGCUGUCGUCAGCUCGUGUUGUGAAAUGUUGGGUUAAGUCCCGCAACGAGCGCAACCCUUAUCCUUUGUUGCCAGCGGUUAGGCCGGGAACUCAAAGGAGACUGCCAGUGAUAAACUGGAGGAAGGUGGGGAUGACGUCAAGUCAUCAUGGCCCUUACGAGUAGGGCUACACACGUGCUACAAUGGCGCAUACAAAGAGAAGCGACCUCGCGAGAGCAAGCGGACCUCAUAAAGUGCGUCGUAGUCCGGAUUGGAGUCUGCAACUCGACUCCAUGAAGUCGGAAUCGCUAGUAAUCGUAGAUCAGAAUGCUACGGUGAAUACGUUCCCGGGCCUUGUACACACCGCCCGUCACACCAUGGGAGUGGGUUGCAAAAGAAGUAGGUAGCUUAACCUUCGGGAGGGCGCUUACCACUUUGUGAUUCAUGACUGGGGUGAAGUCGUAACAAGGUAACCGUAGGGGAACCUGCGGUUGGAUCACCUCCUU
rnacentral:rRNA from 1 species